rnacentral:rRNA from 1 species
AUUGGACGCUGGCGGCAUGCUUUACACAUGCAAGUCGAACGGUAACAGGUUAAGCUGCCGAGUGGCGAACGGGUGAGUAAUGCAUCGGAACGUGCCCGGUCGUGGGGGAUAACGCAGCGAAAGCUGCGCUAAUACCGCAUACGAUCUGAGGAUGAAAGCGGGGGACCGUAAGGCCUCGCGCGAUCGGAGGGGCCGAUGUCAGAUUAGGUAGUUGGUGGGGUAAAGGCUCACCAAGCCAACGAUCUGUAGCUGGUCUGAGAGGACGACCAGCCACACUGGGACUGAGACACGGCCCAAACUCCUACGGGAGGCAGCAGUGGGGAAUUUUGGACAAUGGGCGAAAGCCUGAUCCAGCAAUGCCGCGUGCAGGAAGAAGGCCUUCGGGUUGUAAACUGCUUUUGUACGGAGCGAAAAGGUCUCCUCUAAUACAGGGGGCUCAUGACGGUACCGUAAGAAUAAGUACUUGCUAACUCCGUGCCAGCCGCCGCCGUAA